GCUGAAAGCUGAGAUGUGGUCCCAUGCAGCAAUGGGAACAGCAGUGGUUACUUCUGGCAGACAGACUUGGAAGAUAAAGCCUCAAACACUAUGUGGGAAGAUGCUACAUCCCUGUAAGAGAUUCCUGAGCAGUCCUUCCAUUUUAUGCUUCAGCAGCAC
rnacentral:lncRNA from 12 species